rnacentral:rRNA from 1 species
CCUACGGGUGGCAGCAGUGGGGGAUAUUGCACAAUGGGGGAAACCCUGAUGCAGCGACGCCGCGUGUGGGAAGAAGGUUUUCGGAUUGUAAACCACUGUUCUUGGUGAAGAUAAUGACGGUAACCAAGGAGAAAGCUCCGGCUAACUACGUGCCAGCAGCCGCGGUAAUACGUAGGGGGCAAGCGUUGUCCGGAUUUACUGGGUGUAAAGGGUGCGUAGGCGGGCUUGCAAGUCAGACGUGAAAACCACAGGCGCAACCUGUGGACUGCGUUUGAAACUGCUGUUCUUGAGUGAAGUAGAGGUAAGCGGAAUUCCUAGUGUAGCGGUGAAAUGCGUAGAUAUUAGGAGGAACAUCGGUGGCGAAGGCGGCUUACUGGGCUUUUACUGACGCUGAGGCUCGAAAGCGUGGGGAGCAAACAGGAUUAGAUACCCUUGUAGUC